rnacentral:lncRNA from 1 species
CAGCAAUUUCCGUAUCACUUAGUGGAGACCUAGAAUCAGCCAGGCCAGGACAAUGGAAUCAAUUCCAUCUGGUUGCUAUGGAGAAUCCAAUGGGGGGGGGCUACAGAGACAAGAACGAGGUCCGCCCUCCGUUGCUGGGACUUGGACCAACUCCCAGUGUGAAACUCUACGUAAAAGUAUAGACCAUGGAAGCGCAGGCGAUCCAAGUCAAACCACCUAAAACUUUUGGUCUUAUGAUGUCUUUUAACCUUCCACUGAACAGCACAAGUCAUGUGGAGAACCCAAAGUCAAAGGGGGUAGGGGGCCCAUGCUCCGCAUGCCAGUGAGCCAUGGCAAAGACAGGGAAGACGCAGACUCUCGGGUAUGUAACACGGUCCAGCUUCA